UACGGGGGGGGCAAGCGUUGUUCGGAAUUACUGGGCGUAAAGGGCUCGUAGGUGGCCCCAUAAGUCAGACGUGAAAUCCCUCGGCUCAACCGAAGAACUGCGUCUGAGACUGUGGGGCUUGAAUCCGGGAGAGGGAUGCGGAAUUCCAGGUGUAGCGGUGAAAUGCGUAGAUAUCUGGAGGAACACCGGUGGCGAAGGCGGCAUCCUGGACCGGUAUUGACACUGAUGAGCGAAAGCCAGGGGAGCAAACGGG
rnacentral:rRNA from 1 species